rnacentral:lncRNA from 1 species
AUGGGGAUUAGAUGUUCCACUGUUAGAAUAUAGGGAUAAUUGCCUAUAUACCCCUCAUCGUUUGAAAAUAUCCGAUUUACCCUUAUUAUUUUUUUUCUUUCUAAAAUAACCUUCAUAUAUUUCACCGUUAAUGCAAAAUACCCCCGCAGUUAUCUCCUGUUAAGUUAACAUAGGUUAAACGUGAGUUAAAUAUCUACCACAAUUAAAAAAAAUUAAUAUGUCAAUUUUACCUUUAACUUAAGAGCAAAUAAGAAAUUUUGGUGACGGUAGAGGGGGUAUAUCGGAAAAGACAAAAAAAUCAAAAUACUUUUUGUGCCCCCGACUUUAAGGGCACAUAAGAAAGACAGUGAUGAUGGAAGGGUAUAUUUGAAAUGACAAAAUAGUAAUUUUACAAAGAUAACAGAAUUAAUUAACAAAUUUUAACUCUAGGAGUAUAUUAGAAAUAGAUUGGAACGUAGGAAGCAUAUUUUCAAUAUUAUCCUUCUAAGAGGAGUGAAUCGAAAAGUUGAGAACUUUUCAGGAGUAUAUAUUAGCAAUUGCCCCUAUAAUAUAUUAACAUA